GAUGAACGCUGGCGGCGUGCCUAACACAUGCAAGUCGAGCGAAGCGAUUUAGCGGAAGUUUUCGGAUGGAAGUUAAAUUGACUGAGCGGCGACGGGUGAGGUACGCGUGGUAACCUGCCUCAUACAGGGGGAUAACAGUUAGAAAUGACUGCUAAUACCGCAUAAGCGCACAGCAUCGCAUGAUGCAGUGUGAAAAACUCCGGUGGUAUGAGAUGGACCCGCGUCUGAUUAGCUAGUUGGUGAGGUAACGGCUCACCAAGGCGACGAUCAGUAGCCGACCUGAGAGGGUGAUCGGCCACAUUGGGACUGAGACACGGCCCAA
rnacentral:rRNA from 1 species